UACAGAGGGUCCGAGCGUUGUCCGGAAUUAUUGGGCGUAAAGGGCUCGUAGGCGGUCUGUUGCGUCGGGAGUGAAAACUUACAGCUUAACUGUGAGCGUGCUUCCGAUACGGGCAGACUUGAGGUAUUCAGGGGAGAACGGAAUUCCUGGUGUAGCGGUGAAAUGACGCAGAUAUCGGGAGGAACACCGGUGGCGAAGGCGGUUCUCUGGGCCUUACCUGACGCUGAGGAGCGAAAGCGUGGGGAGCAAACAGG
rnacentral:rRNA from 1 species